UUUUUGGCAAUACCCAUCCUUGUUGAGAGAACUUCCUGCCCAGGGACCAGCCUAGAAGUUAACUAAUUACAGGAGCAUCUGCAGCCUAUUUGAAAGCGGAACUCCAGAAACCAUUUUCUAGCUGUAAUCCUUUUGUCCAUCUGAACUCUAUUACAGGCCAACAGGAGGACCAUUAAUCAGUUCCACUAGAUCCACUGUUAUCAAGAACUCAUUU